AUCAUACUAGGAAACAGUCAAUAUAAAUCUUAAGGAUAUAAGCGACAAAGUUACAAUAAUACAGUCACAAGUGGGAGGGGAUGGGUGAUAAGGGGUGAUGAGAAGAUUAACAGUAAUACUAGUGCGGACUUUGUAAAUGGUUUGACAAUGUUGAGAAAUUAUUUGUUAAGCAGAUU